AGUAACGCGUGGGUAACCUGCCCUUAAGUCUGGGAUACCAUUUGGAAACAGAUGCUAAUACCGGAUAAAAGCUACUUUCGCAUGAAAGAAGUUUAAAAGGCGGCGUAAGCUGUCGCUAAAGGAUGGACCUGCGAUGCAUUAGCUAGUUGGUAAGGUAACGGCUUACCAAGGCGAUGAUGCAUAGCCGAGUUGAGAGACUGAUCGGCCACAUUGGGACUGAGACACGGCCCAAACUACUACGGGAGGCAGCAGCA
rnacentral:rRNA from 1 species